rnacentral:rRNA from 1 species
AGUAAUCAAACGAGAUUUUCUUAGUAGCGGCGAGCGAACGGGAAAGAGGCCAAACCGGAGCGGGCAACCGCACCGGGGUUGAGGACAGUCAUCAAGUGUAAAUGAGGUAGAAGAAUCGAGCUGGAAAGCUCAGCCGCAGAAGGUGAAAGCCCUGUAAUCGAAACCUUGCAUACAUGGGACUGUAUCCAGAGUACCACGAGACACGUGAAACCUUGUGGGAAGCAGGGGGGACCACCCUCCAAGCCAAAAUACUGAUAUCGACCGAUAGCGCAUAGUACCGUGAGGGAAAGGUGAAAAGAACCCCUGGCGGGGAGUGAAAGAGAACCUGAAACCGUAUGUCUACAAACAGUCGAAGUCUGUAUAUAUAUCAGGACGACGGCGUGCCUAUUGAAGAAUGAACCGACGAGUUACUGUUGCUAGCGAGGUUAAGUGGAAAACAUGGAGCCGCAGCGAAAGCGAGUCUGAACAGGGCGUUCAGUUAGUAAUAGUAGACCCGAAACCGUAGUGAUCUAUCCAUGGCCAGGUUGAAGCACAGGUAAAAUUGUGUGGAGGACCGAACUCGUGAGCGUUGAAAAGCUUUGGGAUGAGUUGUGGAUAGGGGUGAAAUGCCAAUCGAACACGGAGAUAGCUGGUUCUCCCCGAAAUAGCUUUAGGGCUAGCCUCGAGGUAGAGAGUAUAGGCGGUAGAGCACUGAUCGGGCUAGGGGCCAUACCGGUUACCGAACCUAGUCAAACUACGAAUGGCUAUACUUAUACUCGGGAGUCAGACAGUGAAUGAUAAGGUCCAUUGUCAAGAGGGAAACAGCCCAGAACACCGACUAAGGUCCCCAAUGUUACACUAAGUGGCGAAGGAUGUGGAAUUUCCAAAACAACCAGGAUGUUGGCUUAGAAGCAGCCACCAUUUAAAGAGUGCGUAAUAGCUCACUGGUCGAGAGACUCUGCGCCGAAAAUGUCCGGGGCUAAAGUGUAAAACCGAAGUCGUGUCAUAUGCAGCAAUGUAUAUGGGUAGGGGAGCGUUCUCAUCGGGCUGAAGCAGUACCGUAAGGAGUUGUGGACUGAUGAGAAGUGAGAAUGUCGGUAUGAGUAGCGAAAAGAAUGGUGAGAAUCCAUUCCACCGAAAGCCUAAGGGUUCCUGAGCAACGAUCGUCGUCUCAGGGUAAGUCGGGACCUAAGCCGAGGCGGAAAAGCGUAGGCGAUGGACAACAGGUUGAAAUUCCUGUACCGGUGUGAAUCGUUUGAUCGAUGGAGUGACACAGUAAGGUAGGUCAGCACGCGAUUGGAAGAGCGUGUUUAAGCAGGUAGGUUGAGCUAUAGGCAAAUCCGUAGAAAACCCUCGUUAAGGAACUCGGCAAAAUGCCUCCGUAACUUCGGGAAAAGGAGGACUCAUGUAGUGUGAAGAGCAGAAGCGCUUGGAGCAUGAAUGAGUGGCACAAGAGAGGCGCAAGCGACUGUUUACCACAAACACAGGUGCCUGCUAAAGCGAAAGCUGAUGUAUAGGUGCUGACACCUGCCCGGUGCUGGAAGGUUAAGAGGAGGGGUUAGACUUUGGUCGAAGCUCUGAAUUGAAGCCCCAGUAAACGGCGGCCGUAACUAUAACGGUCCUAAGGUAGCGAAAUUCCUUGUCGGGUAAGUUCCGACCCGCACGAAAGGUGUAACGACUUGCGCACUGUCUCAACGAGGGACCCGGUGAAAUUGAAGUACCUGUGAAGAUGCAGGUUACCCGCGACUGGACAGAAAGACCCCAUGGAGCUUUACUGCAACCUAAGAUUGAACUUAGUUAAUGAAUGUACAGGAUAGGUGGGAGACUCAGAGCGGACGGAAAUCGCUCGAAGAGUGUAAAGGCAGAAGGGAGCUUGACUGCGAGACGGACAGGUCGAGCAGGGACGAAAGUCGGGCUUAGUGAUCCGGUGGUGCCGAGUGGAAGGGCCAUCGCUCAACGGAUAAAAGCUACCCUGGGGAUAACAGGCUAAUCUCUCCCAAGAGUCCAUAUCGACGGGGAGGUUUGGCACCUCGAUGUCGGCUCAUCACAUCCUGGGGCUGAAGU